UGAAAUUCUUUAACUCAUUUUACCAGAACUUCUGGCAAGUAACAUGUUGACUCAUGAUAUUUUGUCACUUCCUUCCUCUGGCUCACCGCCAGUGAGAUGCUAAUGGGUUGUCAAAUGACCAAUAGGCGAGACGGGACAAAAGCAACGUCCCUCUAUAAAAACUCGCUUACCUGAACAUUAACAAUCAGAGACUUGAUUACCUGAGCAUUAACAAUCAGACUGGCUGAGACAAACUGAGACAGAGUUAAGCUGGAUGAAGAGAUGGCUCCUCCCUUGCAGGCCAGAGGUCAGGCUGACAGUCUGAACCUGUCAAGGAGGGGGAAGAAUACCAUUCUAGGAAAAUAAGGCAAGUUGACGGUGAACUACCCAGAGAGCUGUAAUUAUGGGACUCCUGUCUGGCUUUUGGGGCUGCCUAGAGCAGAGUUCCAAAGAAUAGCAAGCAGAGAUAAGAAAGCCUUCCUCAGCGAUCAAUGUAAACAAAUAGAGGAAACAACACAAUGGGAAAGACUAGAGAUCUCUUCAAGAAAAUUAGAGAUACC
rnacentral:lncRNA from 1 species